UGUAGCUCAGUGGUACAGCACCUGCCUGGCAAGCAUGAAGCCCUGAGUUCGAUUCCUGGUA
rnacentral:tRNA from 1 species